GCGAGGCUAAGCUAGUGGGGGCAAAGAUUCAGUGCAUUCCGUUGAUGUAGACGGCGUGAAAACGGAAACAACAAGUAUGCCGGCUCACUGUGCUGCAUACAAUUACACACUACGUCGUACGAUUGAGACAAGAACACUUGGAAUGACUUUUCAUAGGUUUCCGGGAGACUAUGGGUUGAGGAGGAAUUGGAAGUUUGUCGGCUUAGACCUGGUGUCAUUCCAUCAGUGUUAAACUUCCCGGCUCAUCUUGGAAGAGUACGUGCCAGAAAGACCACGACCAAGCAGCCUUGAGAUCUUAGGCAGCGUCUCCCUGAGACCAAAGAACUACAGACUCUUCACAACCUGCUCAAACUCUUGGUACAGGACCUCACCACACAGGUCAAAAAGGUUUCCGUCUCAUUUCUACUCUGAAGAUCACCUUCUCCUGCUCAAACUGCUGACAAAUGUUUCUGCUGCUCUAAAGUCUGGGCUCCAGAACUUCCUAAAACUCUCAAAGUCUCUUCUGCUGCAGGUUGCUUUGUAGAACUGUUCCAGAAAACCUCACUAAACCACAUGGAGGAGCCUCAAGAUAGUCGUCCAAAUGAAACCGUACAAAAACCAAAC
ensembl:lncRNA